AUUAGAGGAGUAUAGUCGUANCACGUUUCCGUAGGUGAACCUGCGUAAGGAUCAUUAUCGAGUUUUGAAACGGGUUGUAGCUGGCCUUUCACAAGGCAUGUGCACGCUCGGCUCAUUCCACUCUUCAACCUCUGUGCACUCUUUGUAAGAAAUGACCGGGACGCUGGCGCAAGUCAGUUGAAAAGUCUUUCUUAUGUUUUAUUACACACGCUUCAGUUAUAGAAUGUUUACUUGCGAUAACGCAUUUAUAUACAACUUUCAGCAACGGAUCUCUUGGCUCUCGCAUCGAUGAAGAACGCAGCGAAAUGCGAUAAGUAAUGUGAAUUGCAGAAUUCAGUGAAUCAUCGAAUCUUUGAACGCACCUUGCGCUCCUUGGUAUUCCGAGGAGCAUGCCUGUUUGAGUAUCAUGGAAUUCUCAACUCCCAAAUUUUUUUAAUCGAAAGUUUGGUGAGCUUGGACUUGGAGGUCGUGUCGGCUCCUUCGGGAGUGGACUCCUCUGAAAUGUAUUAGUGUGAAUCUUACUGAUCGCCUUCAGUGUGAUAAUUGUCUACGCUGUGGUCGAGAAGUAUUUUUAUAUUCAUGCUUACAACCGUCUCUUGACUGAGACAAUUUUUUAUGACUUCUGAUCUCAAAUCAGGUAGGACUACCCGCUGAACUUAAGCAUAUCAAUAAGCGGAGGAAAAGAAACUAACAAGGAUUCCCCUAGUAACGGCGAGUGAAGCGGGAAGAGCUCAAAUUUAAAAUCUGGCGGUCUUUGGCCGUCCGAGUUGUAUUCUAGAGAAGUGUUUUCCGCGCUGGACCGUGUACAAGUCUCUUGGAACAGAGCGUCAUAGAGGGUGAGAAUCCCGUCUUUGACACGGACUACCAGUGCUUUGUGAUGCGCUCUCAAAGAGUCGAGUUGUUUGGGAAUGCAGCUCAAAAUGGGUGGUAAAUUCCAUCUAAAGCUAAAUAUUGGCGAGAGACCGAUAGCGAACAAGUACCGUGAGGGAAAGAUGAAAAGCACUUUGGAAAGAGAGUUAAACAGUACGUGAAAUUGCUGAAAGGGAAACGCUUGAAGUCAGUCGCGUUAGCUAGAACUCAGCCUUGCUUUUGCCUGGUGCAUUUUCUAGUUGACGGGCCAGCAUCAGUUUUGAUCGCAGGAUAAAGGUCAGAGGAAUGUGGCACCUUCGGGUGUGUUAUAGCCUUUGAUUGUAUACUGUGGUUGGGACUGAGGAUCACAGCACGCCUUUAUGGCCGGGGUUCGCCCACGUUCGUGCUUAGGAUGCUGGCGUAAUGGCUUUAAACGACCCGUCUUGAAACACGGACCAAGGAGUCUAACAUACCUGCGAGUAUUUGGGUGGUAAACCCGAGUGCGUAAUGAAAGUGAAAGUUGGGAUCCCUGUCGUGGGGAGCACCGACGCCCGGACCAGACCUUCUGUGACGGCUCCGCGGUAGAGCAUGUAUGCUGGGACCCGAAAGAUGGUGAACUAUGCCUGAAUAGGGUGAAGCCAGAGGAAACUCUGGUGGAGGCUCGUAGCGAUUCUGACGUGCAAAUCGAUCGUCAAAUUUGGGUAUAGGGGCGAAAGACUAAUCGAACCAUCUAGUAGCUGGUUCCUGCCGAAGUUUCCCUCAGGAUAGCAGAAACUCGUAUCAGAUUUAUGUGGUAAAGCGAAUGAUUAGAGGCCUUGGGGUUGAAACAACCUUAACCUAUUCUCAAACUUUAAAUAUGUAAGAACAAGCCGUCACUUGAUUGGACCGCUUGGCGAUUGAGAGUUUCUAGUGGGCCAUUUUUGGUAAGCAGAACUGGCGAUGCGGGAUGAACCGAACGCGAGGUUAAGGUGCCGGAAUACACGCUCAUCAGACACCACAAAAGGUGUUAGUUCAUCUAGACAGCAGGACGGUGGCAUGGAAGUCGGAAUCCGCUAAGGAGUGUGUAACAACUCACCUGCCCGAAUGAACUAGCCCUGAAAAUUGGAUGGCGCUCAAGCGUGUUACCCAUACCUCGCCGUCAGUGUUAAGUGAUGCAUUGACGAGUAGGCAGGCGUGGAGGGUUGGUGAAGAAGCC
rnacentral:rRNA from 2 species